GGGCCCGCACAAGCGGUGGAGCAUGUGGUUCAAUUCGACGCAACGCGAAGAACCUUACCCAGGCUUGAACAGCGACUGACAUCCGGCGAAAGUCGGCUCCCGCAAGGGCAGUCGUAGAGGUGCUGCAUGGCUGUCGUCAGCUCGUGUCGUGAGAUGUUGGGUUAAGUCCCGCAACGAGCGCAACCCUUGUCCUCUGUUGCCAUCAGGUUAUGCUGGGCACUCUGAGGAGACUGCCGGUGAUAAACCGGAGGAAGGUGGGGAUGACGUCAAGUCAGCAUGGCCUUUAUGUCUGGGGCUACACACGUGCUACAAUGGCCGGUACAAACCGUCGCGAUGCCGUAAGGUGGAGCUAAUCGGAGAAAGCCGGUCUCAGUUCGGAUUGUAGGCUGCAACUCGCCUACAUGAAGUUGGAAUCGCUAGUAAUCGCGGAUCAGCACGCCGCGGUGAAUACGUUCCCGGGCCUU
rnacentral:rRNA from 1 species